AGAGUUUGAUCAUGGCUCAGGAUGAACGCUGGCGGUAUGCCUAACACAUGCAAGUCGAACGAUGUCUUCGGACAUAGUGGCGGACGGGUGAGUAACGCGUGAGAAUCUGCCUCUAGGAUGGGGAUAACGGUUGGAAACGACCGCUAACACCCAAUAUGCCGUAAGGUGAAAAAUUUAUUGCCUGGAGAGGAGCUCGCGUCUGAUUAGCUAGUUGGUGGGGUAAGAGCUCACCAAGGCCUCGAUCAGUAGCUGGUCUGAGAGGAUGAGCAGCCACACUGGGACUGAGACACGGCCCAGACUCCUACGGGAGGCAGCAGUGGGGAAUUUUCCGCAAUGGGCGAAAGCCUGACGGAGCAAUACCGCGUGAGGGAGGAAUGCCUUUGGGUUGUAAACCUCUUUUCUCAGGGAAGAAGAUCUGACGGUACCUGAGGAAUAAGUAUCGGCUAACUCCGUGCCAGCAGCCGCGGUAAUACGGAGGAUGCAAGCGUUAUCCGGAAUCAUUGGGCGUAAAGCGUCCGCAGGUGGUUUCCAAAGUCUGCUGUUAAAGACUGGAGCUCAACUCCGGAACGGCGGUGGAAACUUGGAAACUAGAGUUCGGUAGGGGUAGCAGGAAUUCCCAGUGUAGCGGUGAAAUGCGUAGAUAUUGGGAAGAACAUCGGUGGCGAAGGCGUGCUACUGGACCGUAACUGACACUCAGGGACGAAAGCUAGGGGAGCGAAAGGGAUUAGAUACCCCUGUAGUCCUAGCUGUAAACGAUGGAAACUAGGUGUGGCUUGUAUCGACCCGAGCCGUG
rnacentral:rRNA from 1 species